GAGACAGUGCUGGCCAAAAAGUCUUCAAAAUCCCAUCACUUCAAGUCAGAGGUUCUUGUCCCAGUGAAAACCAGCAAACACUCGUCUCACUGUGGCACUGGGCAAACUGGAGUUUGUUUGAUCAUGUGAUGGAGACAGCCACCUGUUCACAGAACCAGAAGGGCUCUUUCACUCUUUCCUGCACUUCAGAGCCAGACAGUGCCAGUGUGAGCAGGACCGGAGGCCAGCAGCUCUGAGAGCAGUGCCCAGCUGGGGACAGGGGCACAGCAGGGCCAGGAUCCAUCCCUGCAGCGAGCUCGGGGUGUUUCUGAUCAUUGCAGCUGGGAGGAGGCUCGGGAAGUCUGAGGCUCCUGCUCCCACACCAGUGUACAUUAUCAUAGGGCAUCACCAGUGCCACCAGCUUCUGUUUGCUGUAGCCCGUUGAGUUGUCGAUGCACACAUGCACAACAUCCACCCCACAAAGCAAAGCCAGGCAGAGCUUUACUCCCGUGGCAGCUCAGUUUAUUUUUACAGCCCUCGCCCCAGGCUCUGGCACUCUGGAGUUCAGCUGCCCAGGCUGCUCAGCCCCCACUGCAGCUGCAACAGGAGAGAACCUGCUAGAAACCUCCCCGUGUCUGACAGUAACACAGCAAGGUCUGAGCUCCCCUUCCAAGGCUGUAAUUGCACAAUGAACACUUGCUUAAUAAAGCUGAGAUUUGUUUUGUAAAGCGCCUCUUGGUUAUUCAUAGAAAUCUGAUGUGGAAAUGGUCUGUUAAGUCCCUCCUAAAGCUUUCCCUGUGCAUCUCAGACCUGCUCCCGCUGGUGCUUUUCUGGCAAAAUGUUCUGUGGUAAAAAAGCAGAUUGUGGCAGAAAAUCAAACAAGACAUCUGACUUCACCUUUGACUGUGAGCCUGUGUUUCUCUAAUUUGCAUAAAUAUAGGUAUGUCGUACAGAGGGAGAUAAAAUUCUCCAUUUCUCUGAUCUGCUUAUUUGAAGGAAGAUCUCAGAGGGAAGUACUGAAGCCACGGCAUGUUUGAAGAAUUAACUGCAGCACAGAUAAAAAGCUUUAGAAGACCCCACAGGAGGGCUUUAAUUUGAACAGUGAAAUUCAGCUUAAAGAGCUUGAAUUGGCUAAAAGAAGAAAAAAAUAACGUCCUGGUUUAUGAAGCCCUCUGGAAAUAACAACCUGUGGAUGUGUUUAUUUGCCAUGGGAGCCUGAUGUCUCUCCCCCUUUUUCCUCCAACCACUGGGCAGCUUUGGCCAGUCCAAACCACUCCAUGGGGCUGCUCCUUUGG